rnacentral:rRNA from 1 species
GAUGAACGCUGGCGGCGUGCCUAAUACAUGCCAGUCGAGCGAACGGACGAUAAGCUUGCUUCUCUGAUGUUAGCGGCGGACGGGUGAGUAACACGUGGAUAACCUACCUAUAAGACUGGGAUAACUUCGGGAAACCGGAGCUAAUACCGGAUAAUAUUUUGAACCGCAUGGUUCAAAAGUGAAAGACGGUCUUGCUGUCACUAAUAGAUGGAUCCGCGCUGCAUUAGCUAGUUGGUAAGGUAACGGCUUACCAAGGCAACGAUGCAUAGCCGACCUGAGAGGGUGAUCGGCCACACUGGAACUGAGACACGGUCCAGACUCCUACGGGAGGCAGCAGUAGGGAAUCUUCCGCAAUGGGCGCAAGCCUGACGGAGCAACGCCGCGUGAGUGAUGAAGGUCUUCGGAUCGUAAAACUCUGUUAUUAGGGAAGAACAGAUGUGUAAGUAACUGUGCACAUCUUGACGGUACCUAAUCAGAAAGCCCCGGCUAACUACGUG